CGCCUGAUUAGUGGCGAACGGGUGAGUAACACGUGAGUAACCUGCCCUCCACUUCGGGAUAACCUCGGGAAAUCGUGGCUAAUACCGGAUAUGAGCACUCAUCGCAUGGUGGGUGUUGGAAAGAUUUAUCGGUGGGGGAUGGACUCGCGGCCUAUCAGUUUGUUGGUGAGGUGAUGGCUCACCAAGACGAUGACGGGUAGCCGGCCUGAGAGGGCGACCGGCCACACUGGGACUGAGACACGGCCCAGACUCCUACGGGAGGCAGCAGUGGGGAAUAUUGCACAAUGGGCGAAAGCCUGAUGCAGCGACGCCGCGUGGGGGAUGACGGCCUUCGGGUUGUAAACCCCUUUCAGUAGGGAAGAAGCGAGAGUGACGGUACCUGCAGAAGAAGCGCCGGCUAACUACGUGCCAGCAGCCGCGGUAAUACGUAGGGCGCAAGCGUUGUCCGGAAUUAUUGGGCGUAAAGAGCUUGUAGGUGGCUUGUCGCGUCUGCCGUGAAAACCCGAGGCUCAACCUCGGGCGUGCGGUGGGUACGGGCAGGCUAGAGUGUGGUAGGGGAGACUGGAACUCCUGGUGUAGCGGUGAAAUGCGCAGAUAUCAGGAAGAACACCGAUGGCGAAGGCAGGUCUCUGGGCCAUUACUGACACUGAGAAGCGAA
rnacentral:rRNA from 1 species